ACAGACAUAGCAUUCCCUAGGAUGUAGCUUGUACAGAGACCAUGUGCUGGGCUCUCUGAGGGAUGAAACACACCCCUAACAUACUUUCUAGCGAGUUGAGACCUGAGCUGUUCACAGCUGCUUGAUUAGUUAUAAAAACACCUGAACCAGGGCCCUGUAAACCUUCCUCAAAGGACAGGAUCAGAUCUCCCUCUUGUCCUCAAGGGUCACCCGAGGCACAUGAAAAAUGCUCUGUCCCUGGUAAGGGACCCGAGAGUGUGAAUGAGUUGAAUAUAAUGAAACAUGUUCAGGAUGGUUUGUUUUUCUUCCACACAGUCUAUGCAAGUCAGAAUCAACCUCCAUCCGCCUCCAUCCUUUAUGAGACCUAAGACGUGAUGCAGCUCCAAUGGGAAAUAUCAGUUGUGUCUCUACCAAGGAUGCAGAAAAAGACAAGAUUCAGGCUUGUUUCCGGUAAGAAACGCUGACAGAAAUUCAGAAGAACGGGAGCUGCAUUCCAUUAGGACUUGAAGACACGAAAUGUUCGUCUCAGGACCUUCUAGAAGAAUGAGCUGGGACCCACUUUCCGAGUCCUGCUGGAACCAGUGACCGAGGUGUGGAGUUUGUUGUGCCAGUCUUGGAUCCCUCUCUGGUUCAUGGACUGGGAUGUGGAUGUUAUGCAGUUGAAAACAUGGGACAGCAUAUCGGCCAGGUGUCUGAAGGCCUGCACUAGGGUACCUACCUCCUUUUCGGAUAGACUGUAUUCCCUUUCCAUGUUUUAGCUGUACCUGUGACACAGGGCACGAGAACGUGCUCAUGUGAACACAAGUGAAGGACACCGUGGGGACUUGCCACACAGGG